rnacentral:rRNA from 1 species
UACAGAGGUGGCAAGCGUUAUUCGGAAUUAUUGGGCGUAAAGGGCGCGUAGGCGGUUUCUGAAGUCAGAUGUGUAAUCCCCGAGCUUAACUUGGGGUCUGCAUCUGAGACUGGGAGGCUAGAGUACAGGAGAGGGUGGUGGAAUUCCUCGUGUAGCGGUGAAAUGCGUAGAGAUGAGGAGGAACACCAGUGGCGAAGGCGGCCCCCUGGACUGUAACUGACGCUGAGGAGCGAAAGUGUGGGUAGCAAACAGG